GUAGAUAUAGUUUAACAAAAUAUUAGAUUGUGAUUCUAAAGACAGGGGCUAAAACCCCCUUAUCCACC
rnacentral:tRNA from 2 species